CAAAGGGAAAGGGGGAGCUCCAGCAAUGAGCGGAUGAUAUGUUUGGGCUUAGUUUGUAUUCAUGAGGCAGAGAACCUGAUUGCAAAGCAGGGAAGGGUGACCAGGGAGGUUAAUGGAGAUUUAGCUGCCAACUUGGUGAACAGGAUUUCAACCUGUGUCUGUGAUUAGUGAUGAAAUGAAUUCCACAGCUUGAAAUCAUUUAUCCAGCAUCUCCAAUCACACACAAACAUCCUCUGAGCUUGAAAAUAAAUGAGGGUUGGAGCCAGCUA